rnacentral:misc_RNA from 1 species
UGAUUUUUAUGAUUCAUUUCAGCUAUUAGAUUCUUUUCUUUGUUGAUGGUCGACAACGGUCAAAUGGGUGGUAGCUUCUUCCUGGUUUUGAGCUUUCUGGGUUGCGGGAUUUUUGUAUGAUUUAGGCCUUGAUUUUGAAUUUUUAUUAUUUUUUUUUAAAACCGAGGGUAGAUAGGAUGAGCAGAUAUCAUUCGUCAUUGGUCCAUUCGUUUCCCAUUUUCUUUUUGUUUAUUGAUUUGUUUGUUUUUCAGUCUGAUUUUAGGAAAAAGUUGUAAUCUUGAAAAUUUAUUCUUGUUAUUGGAUAUGAGCUCUCUCUAUCAUUUUGUGUGAUUACAGUAUUAGCUAUCUGAG